rnacentral:rRNA from 1 species
AGAGUUUGAUCCUGGCUCAGAUUGAACGCUGGCGGCAUGCCUUACACAUGCGAGUCGAACGGCAGCAUGAUCUAGUUUGCUAGAUUGAUGGCGAGUGGCGAACGGGUGAGUAAUACAUCGGAACGUGCCCUGUAGUGGGGGAUAACUAGUCGAAAGAUUAGCUAAUACCGCAUACGACCUGAGGGUGAAAGUGGGGGACCGCAAGGCCUCAUGCUAUAGGAGCGGCCGAUGUCUGAUUAGCUAGUUGGUGAGGUAAAGGCUCACCAAGGCGACGAUCAGUAGCUGGUCUGAGAGGACGAUCAGCCACACUGGGACUGAGACACGGCCCAGACUCCUACGGGAGGCAGCAGUGGGGAAUUUUGGACAAUGGGCGAAAGCCUGAUCCAGCAAUGCCGCGUGUGUGAAGAAGGCCUUCGGGUUGUAAAGCACUUUUGUCCGGAAAGAAAUGGCUCUGGUUAAUACCUGGGGUCGAUGACGGUACCGGAAGAAUAAGGACCGGCUAACUACGUGCCAGCAGCCGCGGUAAUACGUAGGGUCCAAGCGUUAAUCGGAAUUACUGGGCGUAAAGCGUGCGCAGGCGGUUGUGCAAGACCGAUGUGAAAUCCCCGAGCUUAACUUGGGAAUUGCAUUGGUGACUGCACGGCUAGAGUGUGUCAGAGGGGGGUAGAAUUCCAUGUGUAGCAGUGAAAUGCGUAGAGAUGUGGAGGAAUACCGAUGGCGAAGGCAGCCCCCUGGGAUAACACUGACGCUCAUGCACGAAAGCGUGGGGAGCAAACAGGAUUAGAUACCCUGGUAGUCCACGCCCUAAACGAUGUCAACUAGUUGUUGGGGAUUCAUUUCCUUAGUAACGUAGCUAACGCGUGAAGUUGACCGCCUGGGGAGUACGGUCGCAAGAUUAAAACUCAGAGGAAUUGACGG